rnacentral:rRNA from 1 species
GACGAACGCUGGCGGCGUGCCUAAUACAUGCAAGUUGAGCGCUGAAGGUUGGUACUUGUACCAACUGGAUGAGCAGCGAACGGGUGAGUAACGCGUGGGGAAUCUGCCUUUGAGCAGGGGACAACAUUUGGAAACGAAUGCUAAUACCGCAUAAAAACUUUAAACACAAGUUUUAAGUUUGAAAGAUGCAAUUGCAUCACUCAAAGAUGAUCCCGCGUUGUAUUAGCUAGUUGGUGAGGUAAAGGCUCACCAAGGCGAUGAUACAUAGCCGACCUGAGAGGGUGAUCGGCCACAUUGGGACUGAGACACGGCCCAAACUCCUACGGGAGGCAGCAGUAGGGAAUCUUCGGCAAUGGACGAAAGUCUGACCGAGCAAAGCCGCGUGAGGGAAGAAGGGUUUCGGAUCGUAAAACUCUGUUGGUAGAGAAGAACGUUGGUGAGAGUGGAAAGCUCACCAAGUGACGGUAACUACCCAGAAAGGGACGGCUAACUACGUG